GAUGAACGCUGGCGGCGUGCCUAAUACAUGCAAGUCGAGCGAACAGACGAGGAGCUUGCUCCUUUGACGUUAGCGGCGGACGGGUGAGUAACACGUGGGUAACCUACCUAUAAGACUGGGAUAACUUCGGGAAACCGGAGCUAAUACCGGAUAAUAUUUCGAACCGCAUGGUUCGAUAGUGAAAGAUGGCUUUGCUAUCACUUAUAGAUGGACCUGCGCCGUAUUAGCUAGUUGGUAAGGUAACGGCUUACCAAGGCAACGAUACGUAGCCGACCUGAGAGGGUGAACGGCCACACUGGAAGUGAGAGACGGUCCAGACUCCUACGGAAGGCAGCAGUAGGGAAUCGUCCGCGAUGGGCGAAAGCCUGACGGAGCAACGCCGCGUGAGUGAUGAAGGUCUACGGAUCGUAAAACUCUGUUAUUAGGGAAGAACAAACGUGUAAGUAACUGUGCACGUCUUGACGGUACCUAGUCAGAAAGCCACGGCUAACUACGUG
rnacentral:rRNA from 1 species